CUUCUGCGUGUCAGACGCUUUAGGAACCAGACACAUGGAGACCUCUGUCUGUCCUUGUGGGUGAGGGACAGGAUAGCGUUCUCUUGCUGCUAACCCUGAAAGAUCCAGGUACAGGGCAGGUCCCCAUGCCUAGCAGAAUAGAACAAGGAAGAGACAUGAGAGCUUGAAAUGUGUGUGGUGCCCGCAUCUUUUUAAAUCAGGAACUCCAAAGUCUUGGCAGUCGCUGUAAGGAAAGAUCAAGACCCACAGCAAAACCAUCAUACUUGUGUUGGUAAUGGAACCAAUGUUUGCAAACUUGUGGUGAAAGCCAGUAGUUAAGGCUCUGCUCUGAAGUGGGAAAGGCUCAGGAAAGGACCGGAAAGAGUCCUGCUGGGGAUGGGCUCCCGUUAGCCUUUGCCUGCCACAAGUCAGGUCAGGUCAGAGGUAUUCCCAAGCAAUGUGGUGUUUGCUACACGGCAUGUGCUCCAGGGCAACUGAUUGACUCCAAUCAUUGUAGAUAAACUUUAUCCACUGGCAAAAUU